rnacentral:rRNA from 1 species
CCUACGGGAGGCAGCAGUGGGGAAUCUUGCGCAAUGGGCGAAAGCCUGACGCAGCGACGCCGCGUGAGCGAUGACGGCCUUCGGGUUGUAAAGCUCUGUGGGGAGAGAAGAAUAAGGCUCGGCUAAUACCCGAGCCGAUGACGGUAUCUCCUUAGCAAGCACCGGCUAACUCUGUGC